AGGAUAGCCCUAGGAAACUGGGAUUAAUACUCCAUAAUAUUAUAGAUUCUCCUGUUUUUAUAAUUAAAGCUCCGGCGGUUUAAGAUGGGCAUGCGUGCCAUUAGUUUGUUGGUGAGGUAACGGCUCACCAAGACUACGAUGGCUAGGGGGUCUUAAAGGAUGGUCCCCCACACUGGUACUGAGACACGGACCAGACUCCUACGGGAGGCAGCAGUGAGGAAUAUUGGUCAAUGGGCGAAAGCCUGAACCAGCCAUGCCGCGUGCAGGAUUGACGGCCCUAUGGGUUGUAAACUGCUUUUCUGAGGUAAGGAACGUCCAUACGUGUAUGGAUUUGCCGGUACCUCAGGAAUAAGCAUCGGCUAACUCCGUGCCAGCAGCCGCGGUAAUACGGAGGAUGCAAGCGUUAUCCGGAUUUAUUAGGUUUAAAGGGUACGUAGGCGGGGUAUUAAGUCAGUGGUGAAAUCUUGCCGCUUAACGGUAAAAUUGCCAUUGAAGCUGAUACUCUUGAGUGUAGUUGAGGUAGGCGGAAUGUGUAGUGUAGCGGUGAAAUGCUUAGAUAUUACACAGAACACCAAUUGCGAAGGCAGCUUACUAAACUAUCACUGACGCUGAGGUACGAAAGCGUGGGGAGCGAACAGGAUUAGAUACCCUGGUAGUCCACGCUGUAAACGAUGAUCACUCGUUGUUCGCAAUACAUCGUGAGCGACUGAGCGAAAGCAUUAAGUGAUCCACCUGGGGAGUACGUCGGCAACGAUGAAACUCAAAGGAAUUGACGGGGGCCCGCACAAGCGGAGGAACAUGUGGUUUAAUUCGAUGAUACGCGAGGAACCUUACCUGGGCUUAAAUGCAGAACGACGUACCGGGAAACUGGUAUUUUCUUCGGAACGGACUGCAAGGUGCUGCAUGGUUGUCGUCAGCUCGUGCCGUGAGGUGUCGGGUUAAGUCCCAUAACGAGCGCAACCCCUAUCGUUAGUUGCCAGCGGAUAAUGCCGGGGACUCUAACGAGACUGCCAUCGUAAGAUGCGAGGAAGGUGGGGAUGACGUCAAAUCAGCACGGCCCUUAUGUCCAGGGCUACACACGAGUUACAAUGGCUAGUACAAAGGGCAGCUACCUGGUGACAGGAUGCUAAUCUCAAAAACUGGUCUUAGUUCGGAUCGUAGUCUGCAAUUCGACUACGUGAAGUUGGAUUCGCUAGUAAUCGCGCAUCAGCCAUGGCGCGGUGAAUACGUUCCCGGGCCUUGUACACACCGCCCGUCAAGCCAUGGAAGCUGGGGGUGCCUGAAGUUCGUAACCGUAAGGAGCGACCUAGGGUAAAACUAGUAACUGGGGCUAAGUCGAAACAAGGUA
rnacentral:rRNA from 1 species